GUGUCAGCCGCCGCGGUGAUACGUAGGGUGCAGGCGUUGUCCGGAUUUAUUGGGCGUAAAGAGCUCGUAGGCGGUUCGAUAAGUCGGGUGUGAAAUCUCCAGGCUCAACCUGGAGUCGCCACUCGAUACUGUCGUGACUCGAGUCCGGUAGGGGACCAUGGAAUUCCUGGUGUAGCGGUGAAAUGCGCAGAUAUCAGGAGGAACACCAGUAGCGAAGGCGGUGGUCUGGGCCGGUACUGACGCUGAGGAGCGAAAGCGUGGGGAGCGAACAGGAUUAGAUACCCCCGUAGUCC
rnacentral:rRNA from 1 species